GUCAACCUGAUAAGUUGUAUUUUCUUCUUAUAACGACAUUCAUCCUCUUCAUAAUUAUUGUUUGUGAUGUUAUAUAUUAUUCAAAGUUACCUCAGUUACCGGCGUCAUACUAUUCAAAUACCAAUACACCCAAGAAACGCUGAGAACCAAACUUUAUUUACGCUGUGACGUUGUUUCGUGAAUGAUUGCGUCAACAAUAUUACCCACAGGGACCAAAUUUGAAAUAUAAAGCAAAGAUUGCCUCUGAGAGUGUUCCUAUGAUUUUCAUAAUAUUAUAAUGCAUCGCAGAAUCUGUAGAAAACAAAUGAUGUGGAAAUUCAGAAACAUUACAUGGCUAAUGUUCCCCCUGGAAACUUGUACUUUUUUCGUCAAACGAUGGGUGAACCUAGUGCUUUUAACUACGAUCCAGUGUACAAACUGUCUAGUACAAGGAUGUGUAAAUGAGUCUAGCUGUUGAUAAUGUGCAUGAAAUGACUUAAAUGUGGAAACUUCCUCAAAACAAGCAAACUGACAACUCUAAAAAAGUGAAUGCUGGUAUGCGCAAAUCAUCACGAAAAGGAAUUGAAAUUACACUUUGGAGACUCCUUUGCUAUUUUUGAUGAAACCAAACAACUGUAAAAUCAAACAAAAAUGGUUACUGGUAGCCGCCAGUGAAACUUUAAGUAGAGCGGUGCAAAUUCCCAAUGUUUAUUACAUUCAUGGGGCUCUUGCAAGUCUUUCGUCAAUCUCCAAUGUUCCGAGAACUGGCAUCGCUCUGCAGUAACAAUUUACCUGCCUACAACCUACAUCUACAGACUGUCUCCAGGCAUGACAGACGACCAUGGGUCCUACUACUACAAAUAUUUUGAAGACUCCCUGUUUGAUGGCCGUAUUUCAAGAAUUUUGCUGAAACAAUGGCUGCUCGACAGACAGAAAAAAUGAUCCCUGCGUUAU